AGUUUUGUUUCUUUCUCUAACAAAUUACACCUCACUACACUCCGCCUCACUCCCACACCUCACAUGAUUGUCACAAAAUUACUGAUACACACUUCACAAUUAGAAGAGGGGACAACACAUCUUUUGAGAUUUUCUUGGAACUUCCUCUCCAAGCAAUAAUUCCAUUUCAUAUAACAUGAUUUUGACAUUGAGAAAGGGCCUAGAAAGAAUUAGGGACAGAGAAUUGAGGGCACAUAUAGAAUAGAACAGAGGGAGGCGAAAAGAAAAAAAAAAAAAAAACCUAGAGCCGCCUACUUCAUCUUCUCCUAAAUAAUACUAGUUCCCUGUUUGAUCCAUUAUGAUAACCAUGUAAAUCCUUCAUUCAACACCAUCUUCCAUAAACCUUUAAAGCCACAAAUAGUUUCAUCCUUAUGAAUUUUAUUUUUCAUUCUCUCAUCCACAUGUAAAUCACACAUGCACCCUCCUCCCGUUCUUUCACUAUUGAGACAGCCCAAUUCCUCUAACCACAAUCACAAAAUACACUAUUUCCAACAACUUCUGUUCUUAGCCAGAUCUAAACAGAGGGGAAGGUUCAAUUUCGAGGUCAGAGUCCGAGGUUCGGUUCGAGGUUCAGGUGCAGAUCCUGUCGCCGACUUCAUUUUCCGAUUGAGGUCGUGUUUCCCAAUCAAAUUUUCUGAGAUAAUAGAGGUGUAGAUAGGCGAGGUGAGGACCAUCUACUGUAGGCUGCCUCCAGAUAUCAGCUUUUGGUUGGUGAGCUUCACAUCUUCCUGGAGUAUUGCUGAGUCAUGUUCUAUAUAUGUUACUUUGUUUAAUGAGGAUGUCGGGGACCCUGUCCCGACUUAUAUAUUAUGGUCAUGUUUUCUUAGAGGUUUCGCAGACAGUGUCCUGUGUAUAGUUUUAGAUAUGACAUGUCAACGGCCUUGUCAGCCCCUAUGUAUCCAUAUAAAUCUUUUUUUGGAUUAGUUAUGUAAGUUAUGUUCUAAUAUUGUCAAUUAUAUAUAUAGAAGUGGCCUACCAUGGCCCGUGACGAGA